UUAUUGUAGAAAACUAACGUUUCGGCUGCAACUCAGCCUUUGUCAAAGUUACAAAUACAAAUGUGAACCACCCCUAUAUACAUGGUAAAAUGCGCAAAAUUGCGACCCAUCGUCGCAUAGUGACGUACCCCACUUCUAUUGGUCCAUCAAGCAUCCUUAAUUUGCAUUUAUUUUCUAUUCCAUUGUAUAGAAAGUUAUUUUAUUAAUAUCGCUAAUCGGCCUCUUAUGCCUGGCUCAGCAUGCUCUUCCAAUCUUGCUCAUAUCAAGGCUCUCAGGCCCUUUCCCAUCACUGUCGCUAGUGCGCAUAUUAUACAUUGUGUAUGUAACUAAACUCAUACUUGAUUUCUGCCUUCUCUUUGCAGUACUGUGUGCCGCGAUCUCAGUCAGGAAGUGCCACCACAACAAUGAAACCACCGCGUGUGAUCCUGUUACCCAUACAAAGUGUCGAUGUAUGACAGCAACCUUACGCUAGCUGAUCCUCUGUCUCUGUGCAUCCGGAGCGUCCUGUAACCAUAGUGAUGGUUUCGGAAUACUAACUAAACCCCGUUACUGUGUGCCGCGAUCUCAGUCAGGAAGUGACACCACAACAAUGAAACCACCGCGUGUGAUCCUGUUACCCAUACAAAGUGUCGAUGUAUGACAGCAACCUUACGCUAGCUGAUCCUCUGUCUCUGUGCAUCCGGAGCGUCCUGUAACCAUAGUGAUGGUUUCGGAAUACUAACUAAACCCCGUGUGUGUGUGACCAAGUGCUUCCGGAUUUCAUAUAUAUAUACACGGUGGUGUCGGUACCAGUGCAAUAUUAUCUGUGAUGUUAAUAAAUAACAUACCAGCAGAUUCUGAUGUGUAUAUCCAGUGUCACCAUAUAGUGUGUUUGUGCUGUGCUAAAUAAACAUGUGAAAACGUU